UACGGGGGGGGCAAGCGUUGUUCGGAAUUACUGGGCGUAAAGGGCUCGUAGGUGGCCAACUAAGUCAGACGUGAAAUCCCUCGGCUUAACCGGGGAACUGCGUCUGAUACUGGAUGGCUUGAGUUUGGGAGAGGGAUGCGGAAUUCCCGGUGUAGCGGUGAAAUGUGUAGAGAUCGGGAGGAACACCGGUGGCGAAGGCGGGUCUCUGGGCAUCUCCUGACGCUGAGGCGCGAAAGCGUGGGGAGCGAACAGG
rnacentral:rRNA from 1 species